UACAGAGGUCUCAAGCGUUGUUCGGAUUCAUUGGGCGUAAAGGGUGCGUAGGCGGCGCGGUAAGUCGGGUGUGAAAUCUCGGAGCUUAACUCCGAAACUGCAUUUGAUACUGGCGUGCUUGAGGACUGGAGAGGAGACUGGAAUUCACGGUGUAGCAGUGAAAUGCGUAGAUAUCGUGAGGAAGACCAGUGGCGAAGGCGGGUCUCUGGACAGUUCCUGACACUGAGGCACGAGGGCCAGGGGAGCAAACGGG
rnacentral:rRNA from 1 species